GGGUGCUUAGCUCAGUUGGUAGAGCAGCUGACUCUUAAUCAGCGGGUCGUAGGUUCGAAUCCUACAGCACCCA
rnacentral:tRNA from 1 species